rnacentral:rRNA from 1 species
GAUGAACGCUGACAGAAUGCUUAACACAUGCAAGUCUUUGGCGAAUCUGUGCUUGCACAGGCUAGCCAAGGCGGACGGGUGAGUAACGCGUAAAGAACUUGCCCUGCAGACAGGGAUAACAGACGGAAACGACUGAUAACACCUGAUACAGUUGCCGGCACGCAUGUGCCUGGCAAUGAAAAGAGAUGCUGCAGGAGAGCUUUGCGUCCUAUUAGCUUGUUGGUGAGGUGACGGCUCACCAAGGCGAUGAUAGGUAGCCGGCCUGAGAGGGUGAACGGCCACAAGGGGAAUGAGAUACGGCACUUACUCCUACGGGAGGCAGCAGUGGGGAAUAUUGGACAAUGGGGGCAACACUGAUCCAGCAAUUCUGUGUGCACGAAGAAGGUUUUCGGAUUGUAAAGUGCUUUCAGCAGGGAAGAAGAAAGUGACGGUACCUGAAGAAGAAGCGACGGCUAAAUACGUG